rnacentral:rRNA from 1 species
UACGUAGGCAGCGAGCGUUGUUCGGAGUUACUGGGCGUAAAGCGUGCGUAGGCGGUGUCUUAAGUUUGUUGUGAAAUCUCCCGGCUCAACUGGGAGGGUGCGCCGAAUACUGCGCGACUAGAGUGCGGGAGAGGAAAGUGGAAUUCCUGGUGUAGCGGUGAAAUGCGUAGAUAUCAGGAGGAACACCGGUGGUGUAGACGGCUUUCUGGACCGUAACUGACGCUGAGACACGAAAGCGUGGGUAGCAAACAGG